ACCUGUGGCUUAAAUACCUUAAAGGCCCCAGAUCAUAUCUGAUCUUGAAGGCUAAGCAUCGUCAAACCUGAUUAAUACUUGGAUGGAAGACUACCAAUGAAGACCAAUAGCUGCAGGCU
rnacentral:rRNA from 11 species